rnacentral:rRNA from 1 species
UACGAAGGGAGCUAGCGUUGUUCGGAAUCACUGGGCGUAAAGCGCACGUAGGCGGAUGUGUCAGUCAGGGGUGAAAUCCCGGAGCUCAACCUCGGAACUGCCUUUGAUACAGCACGUCUUGAGUCCGAUAGAGGUGGGUGGAAUUCCUAGUGUAGAGGUGAAAUUCGUAGAUAUUAGGAAGAACACCGGUGGCGAAGGCGGCCCACUGGAUCGGUACUGACGCUGAGGUGCGAAAGCGUGGGGAGCAAACGGG